rnacentral:rRNA from 1 species
AACGAACGCUGGCGGCAUGCCUAACACAUGCAAGUCGAACGAGACCUUCGGGUCUAGUGGCGCACGGGUGCGUAACACGUGGGAAUUUGCCUCGGGGUAUGGAAUAACUCAGGGAAACUUGAGCUAAUACCAUAUAAUGUCUUCGGACCAAAGAUUUAUCGCCCUGAGAUAAGCCCGCGUAGGAUUAGCUAGUUGGUGGGUAAAGGCUCACCAAGGCGACGAUCCUUAGCUGGUCUGAGAGGAUGAUCAGCCACACUGGGACUGAGACACGGCCCAGACUCCUACGGAGGCAGCAGUGGGAAUAUUGGACAAUGGGCGAAAGCCUGAUCCAGCAAUGCCGCGUGAGUGAUGAAGGCCUUCGG